rnacentral:rRNA from 1 species
AGAGUGAACGCUGGCGGCAGGCCUAACACAUGCAAGUCGAACGGCAGCACAGGAGAGCUUGCUCUCUGGGUGGCGAGUGGCGGACGGGUGAGGAAUACAUCGGAAUCUGCCUAUUUGUGGGGGAUAACGUAGGGAAACUUACGCUAAUACCGCAUACGACCUACGGGUGAAAGCGGAGGACCUUCGGGCUUCGCGCAGAUAAAUGAGCCGAUGUCGGAUUAGCUAGUUGGUGGGGUAAAGGCCCACCAAGGCGACGAUCCGUAGCUGGUCUGAGAGGAUGAUCAGCCACACUGGAACUGAGACACGGUCCAGACUCCUACGGGAGGCAGCAGGUGGGGAAUAUUGGACAAA